GAUCUGGUUCAGGAUUAACGCUGGCGGCAUGCCUAAUACAUGCAAGUCGAACGAGAGCAGCAAUGCUCUAGUGGCGAACGGGUGAGUAACACGUGGGUAACUUGUCCUUAAGUCGAGGAUAACAGUUGGAAACGACUGCUAAUACUGGAUAGGUUAAAUCAACGCAUGUUGAUUUAAUUAAAGAUGCGUUUGCAUCACUUUUGGAGAGGCCUGCGUCGCAUUAGCUAGUUGGUGGGGUAACAGCCUACCAAGGCGACGAUGCGUAGCUGUGCUGAGAGGCAAAACAGCCACACUGGGACUGAGACACGGCCCAGACUCCUACGGGAGGCAGCAGUAGGGAAUUUUCGGCAAUGGACGCAAGUCUGACCGAGCAAUGCCCGCGUGAACGAUGAAGGUCUUCGGAUUGUAAAGUUCUGUUGUUAGGGAAGAAUAGUAUAACUAGGAAAUGAGUUAUAUUUGACGGUACCUUACUAGAAAGCCCCGGCUAACUACGUGCCAGCAGCCGC
rnacentral:rRNA from 1 species